AGUGAACGCUGGCGGUAGGCCUAACACAUGCAAGUCGAACGGCAGCACAGUAAGAGCUUGCUCUUACGGGUGGCGAGUGGCGGACGGGUGAGGAAUACAUCGGAAUCUACUUUUUCGUGGGGGAUAACGUAGGGAAACUUACGCUAAUACCGCAUACGACCUACGGGUGAAAGCAGGGGAUCUUCGGACCUUGCGCGAUUGAAUGAGCCGAUGUCGGAUUAGCUAGUUGGCGGGGUAAAGGCCCACCAAGGCGACGAUCCGUAGCUGGUCUGAGAGGAUGAUCCGCCACAACGGGAAUGGAACCACGGCCCGGCCCCCGACGGGAGGAGCCAGGGGGAAUUUUGGGACAAGGGCGGAAAGCCGGACCAACCAUUCCCGGGGGGGGAAAGAAGCCUUUGGGGUGUAAAACCCUUUUUGUGGGAAAAAAAAAGCAGCGGUUUAAUCCCCCGCUGUUCUGACGGUACCAAAAAAAAAAGCCCCGGCAAGCUUCGUC
rnacentral:rRNA from 1 species